AUUAACACGACCUCAUUCUGUUCAUCGAAGAAAAUGCAGGUGGUGUUGACAAUGAGGACUAGAUGGAGCAGUCGAAGCAAGGGUGUGCACGAGUUGCUAGGCUUCAGGGGUUCAAGAUAGAUCAGUGUCUCGUAUUUCUCAAAUCCUAUGUUUAUAUGAAUCUAGUUAUGUUAUAUUCUCUAUUAGUUGUCUAUCAUUUCGAAAUUGUGCUUAGUUGUAUUUCGAAUGCUUCGAUGUCCUGUACUUUUUGAUUUGACAUUCGUUAAAUGCAUGAAGAUUUUAAAAGUUUUAAAUUA